rnacentral:lncRNA from 1 species
CCUGUGGUGUAGGCCUUGGGGCUGCUCUGGUGCAAUGAUGGAUCCUCAGGCUCCCGGGGCUUGUGCCCAAGCAUGGCUCAGCAAUCAUUUUGGGGCUCAGUGAGGGUUGUUUUAGGGGAAGAACUGCUGUUGUCCAGGGAAAAGUAUUUAUAUCCUCUCUGUUUCUGCACGCUACUUGGAUAAGAGACUCUUUAUGGGCAGGGGGAGAGGUAAAUUCAAGCAUGCUAGCCAUGUCCCUGCUCUGAAUCCUCUUUCAGAUAAGUCUGUCUUUUGGUUUACAUUAUAAGCAAGUGUAGGAAGCUGAGCCUCCCAAUGUGUGCAGCUAAAUAUAAACCCUGCUGCUUGCUUUCUGUCAGAGAACCCAGGGCCUUUCUAUCCUCUGCUGCCUCUCAGCUUAUCAAAGGAAAACUCUUCAUCUGCAUAUACGAAGGUGACAAUAUAAGAUGCUGGAAAGUAUUCCCUGCACCUCCACUGUGCUGUGGGGUAGGAGGAUGGUGUCUGACACGGCAUGUACAGAGACAUGUUGAAUCUCACUCAUGUUUCACUUCACACAAUGCAAACAUCACAAGAAGGAAACUUAGCUGCCUGGCUCUGUACUUGUAUUACCUAUAAGAAAUUUGUGUAGUCUUAGACUCAGCACCAAACUCCAACUCAAAAGGGAGUUACAUCUUGUUACAUCUUGGGGGAUUCUCCUUCACCCUCUCAGGAGAAUAAAUGUUGAAAAUUCUUGGUGUUAUAUCUGUGU